AUACGGAAGGUCCGGGCGUUAUCCGGAUUUAUUGGGUUUAAAGGGAGCGCAGGCGGAGAUGCAAGCGUGACGUCAAAUUUCGGGGCUCAACCCCGUCUCGCGUCGCGAACUGCGUCCCUUGGUUGCGGGAAGGGGAGGCGGAACUCGUGGGGUAGCGGUGAAAUGCAUAGAUAUCACGAAGAACUCCGAUCGCGAAGGCAGCCUUCCGGCCCGUCAACGACGCUCAUGCUCGAAGGUGCGGGUAUCAAACAGGAUUAGAUACCCUGGUAGUCCGCACAGUAAACGAUGGACACCCGCGGUUUGGCCUAUAUGGCUGAGCCGCCAAGCGAAAGCGUUAAGUGUCCCACCUGGGGAGUACGCCGGCAACGGUGAAACUCAAAGGAAUUGGCGGGG
rnacentral:rRNA from 1 species